rnacentral:rRNA from 1 species
CUACCAUGGCUUUCACGGGUAACGGAGAAUUAGGGUUCGAUUCCGGAGAGGGAGCCUGAGAAACGGCUACCACAUCCACGGUAGGCAGCAGGCGCGUAAAUUACCCAAUCCUGAUUUAGGGAGGUAGUUACAAGAAAUAUAGAAUUCGCAAUUGCGAUUAUCUAACUGGGUUGAAUGUAAACCGUUCUUCGAAUGCGAUUGGAGGGCAAGUCUGGUGCCAGCAGCCGCGGUAAUUCCAGCUCCAAUAGUGUAUCUUAAUGUUGUUGCAGUUAAAAAGCUCGUAGUUGAAUUUCUGGCAAUACAGCUGAUCUUUUCGAGAAGCACGUAUAUGUCAUCCGCAUUGGAAGCACAUUCGAUAGCAAUAUCAGUGUGUGGAAGGUGCAUUUUACUUUGAAGAAAUUAGAGUGUUCCAGGCAGGCUAUGCUUGAAUAUUACAGCAUGGAAUAAUGGAAUAGGACAAGUUCAUUUUAUUGGUUAUUGAAUUUGUAAUGAUUAACAGGGACAGUUGGGGGCAUUCGUAUUGGGUAGUCAGAGGUGAAAUUCUUAGAUUUACUCAAGACGCACUAAUGCGAAAGCAUUUGCCAAGGAUGUUUUCAUUAAUCAA